AAUGCAAUUCGAGCAGAGAUGAGGAGUGGGCUACAGAGGUCUAGUAAACUUUCAGUUUUGAAGUUUCCACCACUGUGUAGAGUUAAUCAGCAUAGCUCACCUGCAACAGAUUGAUGAACGGCCAGUGCAUAAAAUGCUGUUUGAGUUGAAGCGAUUCUGGGAUCAGACCGGUUAUGAUGAACUGUACUACAAAAUGCACACACAGCGUUACCACAGCUGCUCACAGCCUGCUCUUAUCAUCUUUCCAAUCACCUUCCCUCUUCCCUCCUCCUUCCUUCCAUCCACCCACAGCAUGCGCCUCUCCCUCUUACGGCCUGAACCCUCUGCCAACUGUUGCAGCAGGUUAAGACCUGUGGGAAGUCCCUAACCACACACACCUUCAUCUAUUCGCCCAAGAGUACACACAACCAGGCACAUGUGAAAUGAGUCAGGAGCAGUGAGUCCUUCAAGUCAUCUCAUCCCAGUGCAAAGGUGAAAGUAUGUAUCUCCCACAUCUUGAUGUGCACAUUGAUUGCAUUUUUAUCAACAUGUAACAAUCCUUAACAAUAAAAGUACAUAAACUACA